ACGCUCGACACCUACGGGAGUCAGCAGUGAGGAAUAUUGGUCAAUGGACGCAAGUCUGAACCAGCCAUGCCGCGUGCAGGAUGACGGCUCUAUGAGUUGUAAACUGCUUUUGUACGAGGGUAAACGCAGAUACGUGUAUCUGUCUGAAAGUAUCGUACGAAUAAGGAUCGGCUAACUCCGUGCCAGCAGCCGCGGUAAUCUGAGCGGGCUGGCAAGGC
rnacentral:rRNA from 1 species